GAUGAACGCUGGCGGCGUGCCUAAUACAUGCAAGUCGAGCGCAGCGGGGACGGGUGAGUAACACGUGGAUGACCUCCUAUAAGACUGGGAUAAAUUCGGGAAACCGGAGCUAAACCGGAUGCUUCUACAUUGAUCCGCGCUGCAUUAGCUCGUUGGUAAGGUAACGGCUUACCAAGGCAACGAGGCAUAGCCGACCGGAGAGGGUGAUCGGCCACACAGGAAAUGAUACACGGUCCAGACUCCUACGGGCGGCAACAGUAGGGAAUCUUGCGCAAUGGGCGAAAGCCGGACGGAGCAACGCCGCGUGAGUGAUGAAGGUCUUCGGAUCGUAAAACUCUGUUAUGAGGGAAGCGGUACCGAAUCAGAAAGCCACGGCUAACUACGUGCCAGCAGCCGCGGUAAUAC
rnacentral:rRNA from 1 species